rnacentral:rRNA from 1 species
GAUUAACGCUGGCGGCGUGCAUAACACAUGCAAGUCGAACGAUGAAACUUAAAUGAUUUCUUCGGAAUGAACUUAAGUGGCUUAGUGGCGGACGGGUGAGUAACGCGUGAGUAACCUGCCUUACACAAGGGGAUAGCCGUUGGAAACGACGAAUAAUACCCUAUGAAACUAUCACUUCGCAUGAAGCGAUAGUCAAAGUGUUAGCGGUGUAAGAUGGACUUGCGUCUGAUUAGCUAGUUGGUGAGAAAAAAGCCCACCAAGGCAACGAUCAGUAGCCGGCUUGAGAGAGUGGACGGCCACAUUGGGACUGAGACACGGCCCAGACUCCGACGGGAGGGAGCAGUGGGGAAUGUUGCACAAUGGGGGAAACCCUGAUGCAGCGACGCCGCGUGAUUUAGAAGGCCUUCGGGUUGUAAAAAUCUUUUGUAUAGGAAGAAAAUGACAGUACUAUACGAAUAAGGUCCGGCUAAUUACGUG